rnacentral:tRNA from 1 species
GCCAGGAUAGCUCAGUUGGUAGAGCAACUGAUUCGUAAUCAGUAGGUCGUCAGUUCAAUUCUGAUUCCUGGCUCCA